AUACGGAGGAUGCAAGCGUUAUCCGGAUUUAUUGGGUUUAAAGGGUGCGUAGGCGGUUUGCUAAGCGGGAGGUGAAAUGCCGGCGCUCAACGUCGGAAGUGCCUCCCGAACUGGUGGACUUGAAUGACUCUGCCGUGGGAGGAAUGUGUAGUGUAGCGGUGAAAUGCUUAGAGAUUACACAGAACACCGAUUGCGAAGGCAUCUCACGAAGGGUUGAUUGACGCUGAGGCACGAAAGCGUGGGGAUCAAACAGGAUUAGAUACCCUGGUAGUCCACGCAGUAAACGAUGAUGGCUAACCGCUGGUUUUUUCGGAUCAGUGGCCAAGCGAAAGCGAUAAGCCAUCCACCUGGGGAGUAAGACCGCAAGGUUGAAACUCAAAGGAAUUGACGGGG
rnacentral:rRNA from 1 species